GUCCUUUUGAAAAUAAUUUAAGGUCUAACCUGCCCACUGAGGAAUUAAAGGGCCGCAGUAUUUUAACUGUGCAAAGGUAGCAUAAUAAUUAGUUUCUUAAUUAGAAGCUGGUAUGAAUGGUUGAACGAGAGAUUGACUGUCUCAAUUUAUUAAUUAGAAUUUUAUUUUUAAGUCAAAAAGCUUAAAUUUAUUUAAAAGACGAGAAGACCCUAUAGAGUUUUAUAUAAAUAUUAAUUUUUUUAUUUAGAAUUUAAUUUUUUUUUAUUUGUAUUUUGUUGGGGUGAUAUAUAAAUUUAAUAAACUUUAUAUUUUUAUUAACAUUAAUUUAUGAUUUUUUGAUCCAUUUAUUAUGAUUAAAAGAAAAAAUUACCUUAGGGAUAACAGCGUUAUUUUUUUUUAGAGUUCAAAUCGAAAAAAAAGAUUGCGACCUCGAUGUUGGAUUAAAGUUAAUUUUUGGUGUAGAAGCUAAAAAAUUAGGUCUGUUCGACCUUUAAAACUUUACAUGAUCUGAGUUUAGACCGGCGUGAGCCAGGUUGGUUUCUAUCUUUAAAAAAUAUAAAUAUUUUAGUACGAAAGGACCAAAUAUUUUUAAAAUUUAAUUUAAAAUGAAUU
rnacentral:rRNA from 1 species